UUUCGCAUCCGGCUUGUCCUGCAGCAACCGGUUGCCCACCGCAUGCAUCAGGUGGGUCUUGCCCAGGCCGACGCCACCAUA
rnacentral:antisense_RNA from 1 species